rnacentral:misc_RNA from 1 species
GAUGAAGAACGCAGCGAAAAGCGAUAAGUAAUGUGAAUUGCAGAAUUCAGUGAAUCAUCGAAUCUUUGAACGCACAUUGCGCCCCCUGGUAUUCCGGGGGGCAUGCCUGUUCGAGCGUCAUUUCAACCCUCAAGCUCUGCUUGGUAUUGGGCGUCGCCGGGGAGUCUCCCCGGCGUGCCUCAAAGCCAUCGGCGGUGGUGCCUUUCUCUAAGCGUGGUAGAAUUUUUAUUCGCUUCUGAGUUGGGCUUCGCCUGCCGGACAAACCGGGCCCUCGCGGCCCACCUUCUCAGGUUGACCUCGGAUCAGGUAGGGAUACCCGCUGAACUUAAGCAUAUCAAUAAGCGGAGGA